GAUGAACGCUGGCGGCGUGCUUAACACAUGCAAGUCGUACGAGAAAUCCUCUGCUUGCAGGGGAGAGUAAAGUGGCGCACGGGUGAGUAUCGCGUGGGUAAUCUACCCUUGAAUUCAGGAUAACAUUUCGAAAGGGGUGCUAAUACUGGAUAAAAUCCUAAUGGUUUCGGCCGUAAGGAUCAAAGAUAGCCUCUACAUGUAAGCUAUUGUUUAGGGAUGAGCCCGCGUACCAUUAGCUAGUUGGUGGGGUAAGAGCCUACCAAGGCAACGAUGGUUAGCUGGUCUGAGAGGAUGAUCAGCCACACUGGAACUGAAACACGGUCCAGACUCCUACGGGUGGCAG
rnacentral:rRNA from 1 species